GCCACUAUUAGGUUGAAUAAAGAAAACCCAACUGAUUUUUAAACUUGACCAUAAAUCAAACAAGUGCGCAGUCAUCCACGGCGCUUGCCCACUAUGACAACAUUGACGCAAGUGAAGGAACGUACACUGGCAGGGUUGCUAAGAGGGAGCAAAGAACGAGGAAACUAACUGGGCGGAAUGAUGAUGCCCAUGGACACACUCUGCAUCUGGGACCGUCACCCAAGCAGUCAACGAAGGCAAAUGUCAGCAUGCGCUGUGUCCACGCUUGAGUGUGCUGCACUCAGCCCCACCACCUGGCCCUCCUUGCUCAGCCACCGAGUUUGGGCAGCAGUGACACUGCGGAGCCGUUCCCUAGGGUGAAGGGGAACAUCUCUGCACUCAUGCUUGGCUACAUGCACGCAUGUACACCAACACCUCCCGCAUUCCCUGCUCUUUUUCACACAAGAGACACAAAAAACAGCAAGGGACUUGUGCAGUCUCAUUCACAACACUCACGCUUCGUUGUAUGGAUUUUCAUUUAUCAAACUCAAAUGCAAUCCACAUAAGAUUUAGAGGCCAAUGCCAUCCAUUCAUUUUGGAUUUCCACAUUGUAAAAAGAGAUGAAUAUGUCCUUUGAAAUAUCAGGCGCAGACUGAAUGCUCAUUUACGGUGUAGGAGCAAGGAUGGACUGAAGAUGGAUCUGCUCAUGCAGAGUGAGCAAUCAAGAGAAAGGCCAGGCAACACCAAAUGUCUUAUUAAUUCACUAAUUUGCUGUGACUGUAAGGCAUGAAAAGCUUGCUUCCUUGCCAUCUGAGGCCAAAAGGAACUCAGUGCCAUGUUGCCCACACACAAAUACAUUGUUUUAAAUGGCCUACUUUCAUGCGCGUUGGUGGGAAUGAAGACAAAUCGCUCUUGACUAGCUCCACCAGGGGACAAGUCUUUUAGUGCCUUGCAAAGCAAAACUGUUGAACUCACUAAAAGUACUAUAUAAAAUCACAGCUGAAUGGAAACAAAGUAGACUUUUUCAGAUGAGUAGAAAACUUUGUACCCAUUCCCUCAGCUGUCAAUGACAUUGCUGCACAUUGAGUUACUCAAGUGAUAAAUCCCUGAUAACAUGGCAUUCAAAAGCUCAACUUGGAAUCAUGUUAUCGCUUGUCUAACCCCACCUGGGUUAGACCAGUACUGUGAAAGAUAAUGUCAGGUCAAUGUACAUUCAAAAGAAAUCAAUGGAAUGUCAAUACACAAGAUAGAACAGUUGGUUCAAACCUAAAACUAGGUCUGGUUAAAUUGUAUAUAUUCUCACUAUUAAGGCACCACACGUCAAGAUUUCUCAAUGGCCUGUGACGUCCUAUGUUGACGAUAAUGUUGAGGAUCAUGAGCUCACUCACUCACUCACUGCGGCCUUCGGAGGACCAGCCUGAGACACCUGCCAAAAUGUAACACGUAUACCUAGCACCUCAUAUGACCAUAUGACUGUGCUAUUAAGUGUGGACCUCUACUGACACACACAGUCAUAUGAGGAACAAUAUACACCAAGGGACAUGAACUAGAAUGGCAAGCGUGCACUACUUGACCCCAAUCCCAACCACACCUUUUUUCAUGUGAUAACAGCGUUUAUGGUAUCAGGAAACAUAGCGGAAGGCAAUACGUGACUAAACACUAAACCUAAAGCGUCAACAUGAAAUGGCGCAGGCGUCCACUUGAUUUAAUACUGAGCGUGAAAAAUUCCCAAGGCAAACAUUAUCCUAAACAACUUGCUAUUACACCUUAAAUACCCUCCAGUUAAUAUCAGUGAUAAAAUUAUAUGACCACUAGUUUACUUGUCAUUGCAGUUUUAAAAACAUUCGAGAAGGCCUUCAGGUAAUAACAGUAAAUGGGUAGUUAGAUCUGUUUAAUAAUUCUGUUUGAUAAAAAAAGAACACAAAAGACAGGCGACAAAAAUAUUAGGUCUUACAGGUCCAGUUACAGACAGGCCAGACAAAUUAGUAACCAUUAUGUGAAAACUACAAGACUGCAUUGCAUCAGACGAAGAUAUAAACCAACAGCUUUAACGUCUGGAGUGGAAGCAUUUUGUGUUCUUCCUUCUCAGCUGCAGUCUAGUUCCGUGAGGUCAAUUUAUCUUUAUGAUGAGAUUCUGGUACUUCAGCUGAAGACCUUGGUGGGACGAGAGCACAGUUAAUCGACAUGCUUUAUUUCCACCAAUGCAUUUGUUGGAGACUGAGGAAAUAAUAAGAGCCCUGAUGGUUUUCUAGUCUUCUGGAAAAAAAAGACAGCACAACUGUGGCUUCAGUGAAAAAAAAAUGUCCUUCACACAGACGAUUUCGCAGUUGGAUUAGUGUUGGCACACUAGGUCAUUACUUCCAAUAAGGGCCCAUAUUUUUAACCAACUUGGUCAAACAGUGUAGGGGCAAGCACACAACAAGAAAGGUACCUUGUAAGCUCCAAAGCAGUAAGUCAGACAAGCUUUAAGAACAUCACAAUAUCCUGAUGAACUUUGCGAGGCAGUCCUUCAAAUUGUUUAAAAGUAAUGAAGGAAAGUGACAGAUGAUCCAAAACAUGCAACUGUUACAUCAAUUCUGAUGAUGAAACAGGAUUUUAGGUGAAGGUUUUGAUUACUUCUAUCACUUCUCUUUCACCAACAGUGCAAGGUCUGUUCGUUCCUGAAGCUGUGUGUGCCUCAGUGGGUAACAGAGUGCGGCAUAUAGUUGUAUGUUUUUUUUAAAGAGAAACUGCAAAUCCAUCAGGUAUGUAAUGUACUUGGCAGAUACAUUACAUCCACAUCCUGACAGGACACAACAAAUAACAUCAGCCACUGAUGACAUCAACAUGGCUCCAUUCUAACUGAAGGGCAGGUUAUAGGGCAACUGGAAAGACUUCACCAACAGACAAGCUGCAGGCCAUGACGGCAUAACCGCCAAGGACACAGAGUACAGCCGUCCUGUGGGCUGAUCGUUGUGUAGCACCACAUCUAUGAUCUUCCAUAGCCCAGAAUCUGUCCCCAGUCAGUCAACAACAGGAGAUAAGUGUCACUUGGACUACUGAUCAGACAGACUACAAUUUGUUCGGCCGGGAGAUGUUCUGCCUGACGAAGAGGUAAGUAUGGAGCUGUGCUCCAAAGGGGAUGAUGCAAUCAUCAUUCCUCUUCACCUUGUACACCACAACACAAAACUUGCCACCUUCAGAAAUAUUCUACGACUCUGCAGUCUUCCAGGUGUCAUCCAUGUGUGCAACAAUGAACAGUCUGCUGUGUAUUCCAAGGUCAUAGCUGUAGAAGCACACAAUUUAUCUUACACAAUACACUAUCCAUUAUCCAGUUGUCUGAAUAUUCUUAACAAUGCAUUUGCACCCGUUUUAUUUUAAUGUAUGUACAGUUUUUUUCCUUCUCUUUGUAUUGUGUUGCGUGUGAAAUUUCCCACAUUGGGAUCAAUAAAGUGAAUCUAUCAAUGAGAAAGGAGAUCCAAUCAGAAUUCAGCCAGCUUGUGUUGCCAGGUUGUAUAAAAUCAGUCCAAGGCCUUCAAAAUCACCAGUGCAGGCAUAGGUGCACUUUGAGUGAACAGGCACGUAUAGUUGAAGGAUAGUUGCCGUGGCCAAUCAGAUCACGAGUGGAGGACAGCAAUUGUCAUUGGAUACUCAUACAGUAAUUUCUUGACUAACCGCUACUUUUUUAUUCGCUCGCCGAACCCUGUGGCUUAAACAUACAUUUUACUGUAAAACAAGCUUCAGACCGAUGAAAUCACAGAUUUUUAGUGAUAACCCAGCGCUUAUUGCGCUGUUCUGCGCCCUGCAUUUCCUCUGCAUCUACACCUAGAUAACCCAGGUCUGAGAAAGGGUUUGUUGGUCACUACCAACAAGCGACUAUGGCAGCGAUGGGUGAGUGCAAUAAUU